rnacentral:rRNA from 1 species
GACGAACGCUGGCGGCGUGCUUAACACAUGCAAGUCGAACGGAAAGGCCCUGCUUUUGUGGGGUUCUCGAGUGGCGAACGGGUGAGUAACACGUGAGUAACCUGCCCUUGACUUUGGGAUAACUUCAGGAAACUGGGGCUAAUACCGGAUAGGAGCUCCUGCUGCAUGGUGGGGGUUGGAAAGUUUCGGCGGUUGGGGAUGGACUCGCUGCUUAUCAGCUUGUUUGUGAGGUAGUGGCUUACCAAGGCUUUGACGGGUAGCCGGCCUGGGCGGGUGACCGGCCACAUGGGGACUAAGAUACGGCGCAGCAUCCUACGGGACGCAGUAGUGGAGAACCUUGCACAAUGGCGGGACGCCUGAUGCAGAAACGCCGCGUGCGGGAUGACGGCCUUCGAGUUAAAAACAGCUUUCGACUGUGACGAAGCGUGAGUGACGGUAAUGAGUAAAGAAGCACCGGCUAACUACGUG